UACGUAGGGGGCAAGCGUUGUUCGGAAUUACUGGGCGUAAAGGGCGCGUAGGCGGCCUACUAAGUCGGACGUGAAAUCCCUCGGCUCAACCGAGGAACUGCGUCCGAUACUGGCAGGCUGGAAUCCGGGAGAGGGAUGUGGAAUUCCAGGUGUAGCGGUGAAAUGCGUAGAUAUCUGGAGGAACACCGGUGGCGAAGGCGGCAUCCUGGACCGGUAUUGACGCUGAGGCGCGAAAGCUAGGGGAGCAAACGGG
rnacentral:rRNA from 1 species